rnacentral:rRNA from 1 species
CGAAGGGUGCAAGCGUUACUCGGAAUUACUGGGCGUAAAGCGUGCGUAGGUGGUUUGUUAAGUCUGAUGUGAAAGCCCUGGGCUCAACCUGGGAACUGCAUUGGAAACUGGCUUACUAGAGUGCGGUAGAGGGUAGUGGAAUUCCCGGUGUAGCAGUGAGAUGCGUAGAUAUCGGGAGGAACAUCUGUGGCGAAGGCGACUACCUGGACCAGCACUGACACUGAGGCACGAAAGCGUGGGGAGCAAACAGGAUUAGAUACCCUGGUAGUCCACGCCCUAAACGAUGCGAACUGGAUGUUGGGAGCAACUUGGCUCUCAGUAUCGAAGCUAACGCGUUAAGUUCGCCGCCUGGGAAGUACGGUCGCAAGACUG